rnacentral:tRNA from 1 species
AGGACAGGUGGCCGAGUGGUUGAAGGCGCACGCCUGGAAAGCGUGUAUACGUGAUAAGCGUAUCGGGGGUUCGAAUCCCCUCUGUCCGCC